rnacentral:rRNA from 1 species
AGAACGAACGCUGGCGGCAUGCCUAAUACAUGCAAGUCGAACGAACACUUCGGUGUUAGUGGCGCACGGGUGCGUAACGCGUGGGAAUCUGCCCUUGGGUUCGGAAUAACAGUUGGAAACGACUGCUAAUACCGGAUGAUAUCGAAAGAUCAAAGAUUUAUCGCCCAGGGAUGAGCCCGCGUAGGAUUAGCUAGUUGGUGAGGUAAAGGCUCACCAAGGCGACGAUCCUUAGCUGGUCUGAGAGGAUGAUCAGCCACACUGGGACUGAGACACGGCCCAGACUCCGUACGGGAGGCAGCAGGUAGGGAAUAGUUGGAACAAGUGGG